rnacentral:rRNA from 1 species
GUGGGGAAUUUUGGACAAUGGGCGAAAGCCUGAUCCAGCAAUGCCGCGUGUGUGAAGAAGGCCUUCGGGUUGUAAAGCACUUUUGUCCGGAAAGAAAUCCUUUGGGUUAAUACCUCGGAGGGAUGACGGUACCGGAAGAAUAAGGACCGGCUAACUACGUGCCAGCAGCCGCGGUAAUACGUAGGGUCCGAGCGUUAAUCGGAAUUACUGGGCGUAAAGCGUGCGCAGGCGGGUUUGUAAGACAGAUGUGAAAUCCCCGGGCUUAACCUGGGAAUUGCAUUUGUGACUGCAAGGCUAGAGUGAGUCAGAGGGGGGUAGAAGUCCACGUGUAGCAGUGAAAUGCGUAGAGAUGUGGAGGAAUACCGAUGGCGAAGGCAGCCCCCUGGGAUAACACUGACGCUCAUGCACGAAAGCGUGGGGAGCAAACAGGAUUAGAAACCCGUGUAGUCC